UAAAUGUAUUUUUCUCUUAUUUUACUUACGUCUAUUUUAUCAUAUAUAUACAGCGCGCAUUUUUAUAAUUUUAUCUUCAUUUUGAAGUCUAAUAAAGUCAUAUUUGUAAUGAUUAUGAAAAAUUACUUCCGGGUUGAAUCAUCAAAACAAUAUGGCGUCUGCAAAAUAUGAAAAUAGAACUUCUUCCACUAUUUCUCCAAAUGACGUCGAUAUGUCACACUUAGUAGGGCAGAAUGGUGAUCAGAACGAGUUUACAAACAUCCCCCUUGAAGAGCUUACAGCUGAUGGUAAAAGAAAAAAGAAACAACCUCGGAGAAUAUUGCAUUUUAGUGAUGGUAUUCUAGAGGAGUAUUCUACAGAUGAAGAGGAGGGCGAAGAUCAGGUGGAUCAGCCACAAGUGGAUCCAAAAUCAUUAACUUGGGGCCCAUGGUUUUGGUACUGGACUGUAGCAGGAGCCUUCAGAUCUUUGGCUGCUGCAGACUUCUGUGGUGAAAAGCUUGCUUGGUUCUUUGGCAUCACAUCUCCUAAAUACCAGUAUGCAAUAGAUGAGUUUCAUCGAAUCAAGGAAGAGGAGGAAGAAGAGCGUAAGGAGUUAGAAAAAGAGCGUUUGGUACAAGAGGAGGUACAUAUAACUCAAGUAAGAUCAAUGGAGGAUGGUGUUAGUAACACUACCAGUCAAUCCAACUCUAGUCAUGACAGUACUGCACACCCAACUGAACAGACCUUAGGGGAAACUCCAAAAGUUUAGGUAGAUAGGACGUUAAACAGGAGGUGAACACCUAAUACCAAUAGCAUUGCAUUGAUGCAAUAGGCCUACAUAUUCCAAUGCGGAACAAUUCUAAAGGAGUUUAAAAGUGAAGGGAUGGGCAGUGCGUAUAGAAGUAUAAAAUAUAUUGAGGAGAUAUGAGAAAGCUGUAAAUCCACAUUUGAAAUACUAUGAAUGAUUUGAAGUGCAAUACAGGAUAUAUUCUGUUCGAGAAAUUUUGUAUUGGAACGAGACAAAGUCGAGUGCCAAUACAAAAUAUCGAGGCAGAAUAUAUCCUGUAUUGCACUUCAAAUCAUUCAAUAACGUUUUUAUUGUGUGAUCCUCUGUAUUGCUUCUGUAUUUCUGUAUUGCGACAGAGAUGAUCAACGGGGACAACCUCAGUAGCAAUACAGAUUGGUACAGCACAAGAACUGACCAAUCAGAGGGCUUCAUUUUACAGAUCAUACGAUAAAGUACGUUACCUGAAGAAUGUGAAUGAACCUUAGAAUGUAAACUCUGCUAUAUUUGAUAUUCUAAACUGGAUCUGAUUAUUACAGCUGUAGACGUUUUUAGAUGCAUAACAUAGAUGUCGCUGGGAGAGUCAUAUUAUUAACUUAAAUACCAAAAUAUUUUUUUUCUAUAAAACAUGUAUUACACUUGUCUGGUUAUGAUGUCACCACAGAAGUAGUGACAUAUUGUUAUAGUCUCAUACUUUUUUGUGGAAAGUGUUCCGUGGUUGGUGUUUGG
rnacentral:misc_RNA from 1 species